GAUGAACGCUGGCGGCGUGCCUAAUACAUGCAAGUCGAGCGAACAGACGAGGAGCUUGCUCCUCUGACGUUAGCGGCGGACGGGUGAGUAACACGUGGAUAACCUACCUAUAAGACUGGGAUAACUUCGGGAAACCGGAGCUAAUACCGGAUAAUAUAUUGAACCGCAUGGUUCAAUAGUGAAAGACGGUUUUGCUGUCACUUAUAGAUGGAUCCGCGCCGCAUUAGCUAGUUGGUAAGGUAACGGCUUACCAAGGCAACGAUGCGUAGCCGACCUGAGAGGGUGAUAGGCCACACUGGAACUUAGACACGGUCCAGACUCCUACGGGAGGCAGCAGUAGGGAAUCUUCCGCAAUGGGCGAAAGCUUGACGGAGCAACGCCGCGUGAGUGAUGAAGGUCUUCGGAUCGUAAAACUCUGUUAUUAGGGAAGAACAAAUGUGUAAGUAACUAUGCACGUCUUGACGGUACCUAAUCAGAAAGCCACGGCUAACUACGUG
rnacentral:rRNA from 1 species